rnacentral:rRNA from 1 species
GAUGAACGCUAGCGGCAGGCCUAACACAUGCAAGUCGAGGGGUAGAAGGAGCUUGCUCCUUUGAGACCGGCGCACGGGUGCGUAACGCGUAUGCAAUCUACCUUUUACAGAGGGAUAGCCCAGAGAAAUUUGGAUUAAUACCUCAUAGUAUAUAUCAUUCGCAUGUUUGGUAUAUUAAAGUUCCAACGGUAAAAGAUGAGCAUGCGUCCCAUUAGUUAGUUGGUAAGGUAACGGCUUACCAAGACGAUGAUGGGUAGGGGUCCUGAGAGGGAGAUCCCCCACACUGGUACUGAGAAACGGACCAGACUCCUACGGGAGGCAGCAGUGAGGAAUAUUGGUCAAUGGACGCAAGUCUGAACCAGCCAUGCCGCGUGCAGGAAGACGGUCCUAUGGAUUGUAAACUGCUUUUGUACGGGAAGAAACACUCCUACGUGUAGGAGCCUGACGGUACCGUAAGAAUAAGGAUCGGCUAACUCCGUGCCAGCCGCCGCUGUAAGAC